GAUAAGAACGUAGCGAAAUGCGAUAAGUAAUGUGAAUUGCAGAAUUCAGUGAAUCAUCGAAUCUUUGAACGCACAUUGCGCCCGCCAGUAUUCUGGCGGGCAUGCCUGUUCGAGCGUCAUUUCAACCAUCAAGCCCCCGGGCUUGUGUUGGGGACCUGCGGCUGCCGCAGGCCCUGAAAAGCAGUGGCGGGCUCGCUGUCACACCGAGCGUAGUAGAUUUUAUCUCGCUCUGGGCGUGCUGCGGGUUCCGGCCGUUAAACCACCCUUUUAACCCAAGGUUGACCUCGGAUCAGGUAGGAAGACCCGCUGAACUUAAGCAUAUCAAUAAGCGGAGGA
rnacentral:misc_RNA from 1 species